UUAGCAUGAGUCAAGUAAACUCGUCUUUCGCUAAGCACGAGUUUAAAGCAAACUCGCUUAUUACUAGGCACAAGUUCGAAAUAAACUCGCCUAAACCGUCAUAGGCAUGAAUGUGUCUAGUUCAUUGUCUAAUAAACCCUAUUCGUAAAAUUCACAGAGAUCGACUUCAUCUCUCUCUACGAACUUGGGGGACUUACUGUUGGGGAUGAAUUUACAUCCUC
rnacentral:lncRNA from 1 species